AAUGGGUCAGCGACUUAUAUUCUGUAGCAAGGUUAACCGAAUAGGGGAGCCGAAGGGAAACCGAGUCUUAACUGGGCGUUAAGUUGCAGGGUAUAGACCCGAAACCCGGUGAUCUAGCCAUGGGCAGGUUGAAGGUUGGGUAACACUAACUGGAGGACCGAACCGACUAAUGUUGAAAAAUUAGCGGAUGACUUGUGGCUGGGGGUGAAAGGCCAAUCAAACCGGGAGAUAGCUGGUUCUCCCCGAAAGCUAUUUAGGUAGCGCCUCGUGAAUUCAUCUCCGGGGGUAGAGCACUGUUUCGGCAAGGGGGUCAUCCCGACUUACCAACCCGAUGCAAACUGCGAAUACCGGAGAAUGUUAUCACGGGAGACACACGGCGGGUGCUAACGUCCGUCGUGAAGAGGGAAACAACCCAGACCGCCAGCUAAGGUCCCAAAGUCAUGGUUAAGUGGGAAACGAUGUGGGAAGGCCCAGACAGCCAGGAUGUUGGCUUAGAAGCAGCCAUCAUUUAAAGAAAGCGUAAUAGCUCACUGGUCGAGUCGGCCUGCGCGGAAGAUGUAACGGGGCUAAACCAUGCACCGAAGCUGCGGCAGCGACACUAUGUGUUGUUGGGUAGGGGAGCGUUCUGUAAGCCUGUGAAGGU
rnacentral:rRNA from 1 species